rnacentral:rRNA from 1 species
AUGUAAGGGCCCGAUAAAAAGGCCCCUACGUCUUUAUCACCAACUCUGUAUUCAUAGAAUGUAAUCCAUAUCUACGCCUUAACAAGCGUUGGUAAAACUUAUACAACUUUCAACAACGGAUCUCUUGGCUCUCGCAUCGAUGAAGAACGCAGCGAAAUGCGAUAAGUAAUGUGAAUUGCAGAUUUUCAGUGAAUCAUCGAAUCUUUGAACGCACCUUGCGCCCCUUGGUAUUCCGAGGGGCAUGCCUGUUUGAGUGUCAUUAAAUUCUCAACUCCGAUUUGAUUUGUUUCUUAUCGGAGCUUGGACUUUGGAGCGUGCUGGCGUAAGGUCGGCUCCUCUUAAAUGUAUCAGCGGAAUCUAACCUUUGGAUUCUGGACAUCGGUGUGAUAAUAAAAGUUGCGCCGUCGUUCUACUUCAAAGUCCGCUUACAAUGGUCUUUUGACAAACUCUUAUCAAAUUUGACCUCAAAUCAGGUAGGACUACCCGCUGAACUUAAGCAUAUCAAUAAGC